UGUUGUCUACUAGUAACUGGAAUGCCUC
rnacentral:sRNA from 1 species